rnacentral:rRNA from 1 species
CCCGAUUCCCCUGAGCGGCGAUCAGAUACCGCCCACAAAUAACGAGACCGUUCUUAUUUAUAGGCCGGUUAUUGGAAUGAGUGAAACCUUAAUCCGUUAAACGAGGAUCUAUGAGAGGGCAAGUCUGGUGCCAGCAGCCGCGGUAAUUCCAGCUCUCAAAGUGUAUAUCGUCGUUGCUGCGGUUAAAAAGCUCGUAGUUGGAUCUAUGCCGAGGAUAAAGUCAGUCUUCACGAUUUGAACUUGACUCCUUGGCUUAUCGGCCAGUUGCACUUACUGACUUUAAUUGGUCGUAUCAUUGUUAGCUGGUUGGUUUACCUUGAAAAAAUUAGAGUGCUCAAAGCGGGCUCACGCUUGAAUACUCGUGCAUGGAAUAAUGGAAUAGGAUUUCGGUUCUAUUUGUUGGUUAGCGGACCGAGAUAAUGGUUAAGAGGGACAGACGGGGGCAUUCGUAUCGCUACGUGAGAAGUGAAAUUCUUG